AAUUGUGUCUUGUUUUUCCUCUUUACUCCAGUUCUCCUUGUGCAAUGCUGCGUGCCACGCCGCUGGCAGAAGCAGACAGAGAAGGAGAGAGAGGGAGCUCCAGUCACACACCAAACACACACUCACACUCAGACACACGCGCGCGCACACACUCACCCUAGCCUGCCAGGCGACUGCCAUCCAGGAGAUCGCAGUCGCCAGUGGAAAGGGGGGGGUGGAGGUGGGGGGGGUCGGGCGUGGGUAAGGGAGGGGGGCUACGCCAGUCACAAUCGUGCCCAUGCUCGGCUCUCAUCCUCGCCACCACCACCUUGCACAGUGAAUCAGAAGAUGGAGAUGGAUGUUAAGGGAGUUUCUCAGUGCCCGGAGCCCAUCCCCCACUCUCAGGGGGCUGGCGGAGGCUGUCAGCAGCCACCGCCGCCGCCACCGCCGCCGCCGCCGCCACCGCCGCCGCCGCAGGAUGAGCAGCCUGGGGAAAGUGCGGCCGCCGGGGACAGCCACCCAGAGAAGAGACCAAACAGUGAGAAAGAAGACAAAAAGUACUUCAGUGACAGAACCCAACACGUGUGUGUUUGGCGAGGCUGGUGGAGGUUAACAAGGAGCUGA
rnacentral:lncRNA from 1 species